GAGACUCUGUGCGCGUGCAUAUCAAUAAGCGGAGGAAAAGGAAACUAAUAAGGAUUCCCUUAGUAACGGCGAGUGAAGCGGGAAGAGCUCAAAUUUGAAAUCUUCAAGGUUCUACCUUGACGAAUUGUAGUUUAUAGAAGUGUUUUCUGUUAGUAGAGUGGCAAAAGUUCUUUGGAAUAGGACAUCAUAGAGGGUGAGAAUCCCGUAUUUGGUCAUUCUUUCCUAGCUUUGUGAUACACUUUCAAAGAGUCGGAUUGUUUGGGAAUGCAGUCCAAAAUGGGUGGUAAAUUUCAUCUAAAGCUAAUACUGGCGAGAGACCGAUAGCGAACAAGUACCGUGAGGGAAAGAUGAAAAGAACUUUGAAAAGAGAGUUAAACAGUACGUGAAAUUGUCAAAAGGGAAGCGUUUGACACCAGUGUUGUUUUCUCGAAAAUCAAUUAAGAAUGGUGGGAUUUUGUGUUGUAUUGACUUUAUCAGCUUUCUGCACUUUUUUCCUGUCUUUUUUAAUGCACUUUUCGUUUAACAAGUCAACAUCAAUUUCUUUUGCUGUAAAAGAGUCAUUGGAAGGUGGCUUUCUUUUCGGAGAAAGUGUUUAUAGCCUUUGACUUCUGCAGUCGGAGAGAUUGAGGUCUGCAGCGUAGAUCCUUCGGGGUUAGAUACAUUUGUGCUAAGCUAUAGCCUUUCAUAGACAACUUGUUGACUAUGAUCAGUCAUGUAGCUUACUCGCUUAUGCUAUUUUACCUACGCUUAGGAUGUUGAAGAUGUAGCACAUCAU
rnacentral:rRNA from 1 species